AUACAACAUAUCCCAUACCAUCUUCAACUAUGAACACAACCACCAGCACUCCUACCCCAACCAGUGCCACAACACAGCCUCCGAGGUACCCGAUAGUCAUCGGGCUGCGAGCUAGGAUCACAACUACAGUGGCGCUGGAUACAAAUCUAGCAAACAGCAUUUUGCAGCAGUAUAUAUCAUCCCUCCAACAAUACAAUGUAACUUCGAGAGUGACGAGCAUUAAGAAGUUAUGAAGGGCUGUGCCAGGAGGACGUUCACAAUAGUUUUAAGGCCAUUGAUCAUCUUUUUUUAAUAUUAGUAUUUCUCUGAGAUUAUUUGGGAUGUUGUGAUCUAUUCUAACUUUUUCAAAUCGUUGUUUAAGAUUAUCAUUUAAAGCCAUCAUGAUG